GCUGGCGGCUUCGGCAGAUGGCCGGGCGACUACCAUUGCCCCUGCGCCGCCGGCGAGCAGCCGUCCGGCGUUCAACCCGCCGCUGCCGGUU
rnacentral:tRNA from 1 species